GCGCGAUUAGCUCAGCGGGAGAGCACUUCCCUGACACGGAAGGGGUCACUGGUUCAAUCCCAGUAUCGCGCACCG
rnacentral:tRNA from 1 species